UACGUAGGCAGCGAGCGUUGUUCGGAGUUACUGGCGUAAAGAGUGCGUAGGUGGUUUUCUAAGUUUGGUGUGAAAUCUCCCGGCUCAACUGGGAGGGUGCGCCGAAAACUGGAAGGCUAGAGUGUGGGAGAGGAUAGCGGAAUUCCUGGUGUAGCGGUGAAAUGCGUAGAUAUCAGGAGGAACACCUGCGGUGCAGACGGCUAUCUGGACCACUACUGACACUGAGGCACGAAAGCGUGGGGAGCAAACAGG
rnacentral:rRNA from 1 species